AUUGAACGCUGGCGGCAGGCCUAACACAUGCAAGUCGAGCGGAUGAGAAGAGCUUGCUCUUCGAUUCAGCGGCGGACGGGUGAGUAAUGCCUAGGAAUCUGCCUGGUAGUGGGGGACAACGUUUCGAAAGGAACGCUAAUACCGCAUACGUCCUACGGGAGAAAGCAGGGGACCUUCGGGCCUUGCGCUAUCAGAUGAGCCUAGGUCGGAUUAGCUAGUUGGUGGGGUAAAGGCUCACCAAGGCGACGAUCCGUAACUGGUCUGAGAGGAUGAUCAGUCACACUGGAACUGAGACACGGUCCAGACUCCUACGGGAGGCAGCAGUGGGGAAUAUUGGACAAUGGGCGAAAGCCUGAUCCAGCCAUGCCGCGUGUGUGAAGAAGGUCUUCGGAUUGUAAAGCACUUUAAGUUGGGAGGAAGGGCAUUAACCUAAUACGUUAGUGUUUUGACGUUACCGACAGAAUAAGCACCGGCUAACUCUGUG
rnacentral:rRNA from 1 species